rnacentral:lncRNA from 1 species
CCCCUUUUAGCUUCUCUCUGAACUCCCUAUAAUUGCUCUGCUUGCGCCGCCGUGAGUAUCGAUCGCUUGUGCUCGUAAAUCCUCCUCCGAGGUGGCACCUGUAACCCCCCUUUUGCCUGAUCAAGAAGUCAAGCGCACCCCCAACAACCUUUUCCUCGUCCGGGAGGUGGCACGCCCGUAACACUCUCCUCUCUUUGUCUGCUAGUUACCUCUGCUCCGCGUGCUGAGGAUCGUGGCCAAAACAUUGGCACGCCCAGUGGGACAAGGAGUACAAAGCGAUCACCAUUGGGAAACCGGAGGAAGCGCCGUACCGGAAGCCUCAGCUUUCUUGCCUCAAGCACAGAGCGCUACGGUAUAAGCCCCAUAACAGUGCGGCUUGCCGAUCCCUCACUCAAGAAGAGGUCCUUGCUCAGUUUGGUGAUCCAGACUUUAGCGAGACCGCCAUGGUAGGCUCUCAGCCGACCCAAGACACAGGUUCCGCUCCGUCCAUGGAGCGAAUCUCUCAGAUGCUCGAGCAGUUGACAAGUCAAGGUUUGGCCACUCAACAAAGUAUCACCGACCUUGCUGGGAAGGUUGACGGCCUUGCUGAACAGGUCACAAGGGACAAGACCCUUUGGGAAGCAGACCAGCACAACCUUACCGUGCUCACUGAGGACUUCAACUAGUUUGUCAGCGAAGUAAGGGAAACCAAGGGCUUGGUCGAAGGAAGCCUUCAGCAGAUUCGCUCGGAUCUAAACCAGAACACGGAGACCGUGAAGCAAAACGCGGAGACUGUGAAGCAACAUGCAGAGGUCCUGUCGCUCACUCGUGCGACAGUGGAUGAGCAGACUCGCCGCUUGUACGACCACGAUACCAAGCUGCAUGACCAGCAGAACGCUUCCUUCUUUGGAAGUAAGAACAGUCUAGAAAAGCUAGACGAAUUCAAAGAUAAACAGGACCGGCUGAACCUACGGAUUCUUGAGGUUGAAGACUGGAUGAGGGCACAGGCACCAAAAAACCCUGCUCUAAACCCUACCGGCCCAAGCGCAAGCGAAGGGACGCCCAAGUACAUCCCUCCCAAUGAAUGCACCAGGGGAAACCCUAAGGUCGGGACUCCGAAUGCCCCGCAGUUCGGGUCAGGGGCAGGAACGUCAAAGAGUCCGCUCCCCCAUGGCUCGUUUGCCUCUCCAAAGGGACUGCAUAAUUCUUUUCGCCAGGGAACCGGGACACCAGAUGACCCGUUUCUGGUUUGUCCCAGCCUUGCUCCCAAGAAAGGCGGACAGGCCGUCAGUUUCUCUGCAUGGCCGAACCAUGGGGAAGGGGCAGAGGCCGUACCCGUGGCAACAGCCGACUGGCGCCAGCUUAUCUCCUCCAUCAUCAAGGAGCAAACCAGACACGGUAAUGCUAACUUGCAGUAUCGCGACCCCUACCCGGAUAGUGUGGCGCAAUACCAUUUCCCGCAUGGGUUCAAGAACGUAGUGUUCACUACUUUCUCUGGAGAAACAGGGGAAGACGCAGCAACCCACAUGGCUCGCUUCAAAGUUCAGUGUGGCCAGUACGGGAACAAUGACAUCCUCAAGCUCAAGUUCUUUGGGACCUCUCUGUCCGGAGCUGCAUUUACUUGGUAUUCCAGGUUGAAGCCGGGAUCCAUCGCGGACUGGCCCACCAUGGAGAAACUGUUCCGGGAGACCUACGGUACCAUUGAGCCCGAGGUCGGUCUCGACUCCCUCACCCAAAUGAGCCAGCAAAGCAUGGAGUCGGGCCUUUCCUUCCUCCAACGGUUCAAGAUCCAACAAGCCAAGUGCGACUUCCUCCUACCCGAACAAGAAGCCAUUAAGUUGGCUGUUUGCGGCCUCGAGCACCGCCAACGAUUGAAGCACCAUGGGGAACGCUUCACGUCUAUGGGCGAUUUGAUUAAUAAGGUCGGCAGUUAUGAACUAAUCCUCAACAAGAUGGACGAGAAAGCGAAUGCCUCCAAAGGGACGUACGUACCGGGGAGGAACAGGAUAGUCGGGGCGCUAAACCUUCAAUCCUCCACGUUUGACCCUUACUACCAAAGGCAAGAGGACUUUGAGGCCGCGCAAGGAUAUGCUGACGACGUCGGAGCAGUCGAACUAACCGGGAAACCUUUGGCUCACAAACUGAAGAAUCUCAAGAUGACCCGUGAGCCAAUCACCAUUCAGUCCUUUGCAUGGACUAAGCCCGAAUACGAGUCUUACACGUAUGAUGCGAAAAACGCCCAUCUUUUCUUUAAUGACUUGAUUGAGGCGAACUACGUGCGCUUGGACCAUAAGAUCCCGUCCAAGGAAGAGUUAAAGGACAAGAAGUACUGCAGUUUCCACAACGCCUACAAUCACGACACCAAGGACUGUGUCAAACUCCACGACCAACUGCAGACUUGGUUGAAUUCGGGCGCCCUGAAAAUGAAGACGCCAGGAAGCACAGCUUCUCUGGUGGACGUGGAUCCCUUCCCCGCUGUGGUUGGUAUGGUCGAGGUAAAUUGGAACGACCAGCCAAAGGAGCGCAGCCGCCGUCGCGCACCAAAGCCAGACGAGCGGAGAAUCACCUUGGACCUGGCCGAACACCCAGAGAAUGAUAAUCCGCGCCGCGCACUCAAGCGAGACAGAGAGGUUGGUAAUGAUGACACACGUCAGCCAUCUCGCUGGUACACUUACAACGUCAACCUCGCGCACUAGGUUUUAGACAAUCUUAUUGAUGGCGAACUCGUCACUGUAUCAAGGGCCUUACCCUACGUUGAAUACAAGGAAGGUUGCGUCCAUUGCAAGUUCCAUGACAGUUGGGGACACAGAACCCGCGAGUGUUACCAGCUCCGCGAACAAGUUCAGGACCAGCUAGACCUCAAGUAUAUUUGCUUUGAGGACAAAGGUGGCUUUAUGGUCACAAUUGCUGACGACGUUUGGCCUCGCGUUGGCCAGCGCGCGAUAACUUUGGACUUAUCUCCAAGUGCGGGCCAACGCGAACCGCCAGGUCGAAACCGCAAGAGACCGGCGAACGACUACACCGUUCUGGCAAACCAAAAUGGGAAUCACUACCCAGCAAGGGAGUUAGCCGCCAGACCGCAGUCCAAUCGCCUCUCAAGAAAGGAUAAAGGCAAAGCUACUAUGCUGGACGAUAUACCGUCCCCAGCUGACAACUAUCAACCCAUGAGUCACAGGACUCGCGAAGAGCUAGAACAGAGGAUCAAGCGCCUCGAAACCUUCGUCCAAUCACACUGGACUACAGAUAUACCUUCGUCUCCAGCUUCAAGCGUGAUGGACAUCUCCGAGUCUGGCAGCGAACACCAGGACAGCGAGGCAUCAAGCCCUCGACGAGGUAUCUUGACCGACCCCUACAUUCCUCCGACAUCCAAAUCAGCAAUCAAGGAAGGGAUUUGGUACACACCGCAUGGGGGAAAGUUAGUUACCAUCAGCAAGUCUAAGAAACGGAAGCUACAGAAGAAGUAUGGCAGCAUCCUGCGUGCCUUGCGAGCAGCUGAUGAUGGCAUUAUCCGACCCUCGUAGCUCGCGCAGACACCCGAGAGGAUGUGGAGAGAAGCUGAAGGCUUGCGCGCUCUCCUCCAAAGACCACUUGUCACGCCUCCACGUGUCUGUGCGCAGGUAACAGACGACCCCGCUCCAAAAGCGAAUGUCUUCUGUCGCCUCACCAUACCACCAAGGCAGGAUCCACACCCCUUUAGGCACAGAUCAUCUCCGGAGCCAGAAAGGAGAAUGGAUUCACAAUCUUCCCAUCACAAGCCUUCGUCAGAACCUGAAAGAAGAAGGGAUGUGUUACCUCCUCCAAGCCGCAAGCGGUCGCCGGAAGCCGAACGACGGAGAGACCCGCCACCUCUACCAAGGCGUAGGCAGUCACCAGAGGUUGAAAGAAGACGAGAACCGUCUUCCCCAGCGAAGCGACGACUGUUCGUCUCAUCCAGGCUCGAGGCAAGGCGCGAGCCGCAUCGGUCAUCACAUCCCCAGAAACCUCUUCGCCAAGAAACUGAGGCUAAAAAGGAGCCAUCGCGACCAUGCCCGCCCCAACCAGAACCGGAACAGGAGCCUCAGGUCUCAAUCCUUCCUCCGUCUAAAGCAGAGGACGAUGCUAACAUUCCUCUAGCCGCAGAUAGGCAUUCAGCUGCAGACAAGCAGCCCUCGCCCAAACUCGUGUGGCGACCACGGCAGCCAGAGGGUAACAUCUCGCUAGGGGUCGAACGUAGCACCUCUAGCCCUAACCUCGCGGAACUCAUGGCCCAAUGCUUCCGCAAAAAUUCACUGAACGAGGAGACUCAUUCCGAGCCUCGCAUCGACUUGGGCGAAGACCAAGCAGAAGGGCAGGGUGAAUCAUUCACCUGCAAUAUGCUCGAGAUCUCUGCAUGGCCAGAACAUGAAGAAGUCAACCCAGCGGAGAGCGCAUUCGCCGUGCUCGAAGGAGACAAUGGACCCAUCGAGACUCCACUAGUCCCAGUCCACGAACAAUUCUCUUUUCAGGUCGGAAUGGUUUUCUUCAUAUCUGAGAGAUACGCUCUCCCACCAAAUACAACAUGCAACGCGGCGGAUAUUCCAGCCAAUAGCGAGAAUGUCUGCGAUAUAUCCCCCCCCUUGCAGCAGUGAGAUGGGUCCAGUCCUGGCGGAGCCUGCGAACGCUCCACCAUUGGAAGCUAUGAGCAGCAUCACACGCAUGCCGACUCUGACUUUCUCUACUCCGACCCUAGACAUGGCCACUCACAUGAGGCCAUUGUAUAUCACGGCUGAAGUUGAAGGGAUCAUGAUAAACAAAAUCAUGGUCGAUACCGGGGCUGCAGUGAAUGUCGUCACCACCCGCACUAUGGGACUCCUUGGUAUCCCACGCUCGAUGAUCCAAACUACAUCCUUGACAGUCAAGAACUUCACCGGACAAGUCUCCAGGACUCUAGGUUUGUUAUUCUUACGGGUCAAGGUGGGACCGGCUUCAAGGGUCUAUACAUUCUUUGUCGCCGAGUGCGCUUCAUCCUACAGCAUGAUCCUAGGCCGCGACUGGAUACAUAGAAGUUUCUGUGUGCCUUCCUCCAUGCACCAAGAGCUCCUGAUUUGGGAUACUGAGAAACGCGAGACGGUCCUCAUCCACGCGGACCCGCGUCCUUUCUCCAUUUUCGCCAACUUCAAUGACGCCCGCUAUUACAAUACUGACUUGGGCCCAUUGGAUGUCCAAGGCGUCGAUUCUAAAGGCCGCCCAUAUGGGGUCACUGCCUCCAACUUAACGCGAUGGGGACUCACUCAGGCGAGAGACGAUUUACAAUGUCCUCACACCAUCGUGGACCCCCUACAACCAUCUUAUGAUUAGCACAUCCUCAGAAGAAGCACGCGAGGCUGGCGAGUCCUUGUGUGAGAGACUACUCUCGUAUUGGGCAGAACGCGAAGCCUACGACAGGGUUGCCACGAUGGAGUAUGUAGACGAGAUAGUAGACUAUACCGAUACCGAGGAGGAAGUUAUUCAGUUAGCUCCCGCUGCCUUGGACGACACACCGCCUCAAGUCCGCGAUCCCACCUUACAAGUCGACGUGGGGACUGCAGAGAAACCCUUAUUACUUUCCAUCAGUGCCAAGUUGGCGGGACAAGAAAAGGAAGACCUUCUCGCCUUACUACAUGAAUAUAGGGACUGUUUCGCCGAGCAGUACGAGGACAUGCCUGGCCUAUCCCCGGAUUGAGUUUGUCACCGUCUGCCUACUCAUCCCGACAGACGUCCAGUCCGCCAAGACGGCAGAUUCAUACGAACUGAGACUUAGAUCUUGGUCAAAGAAGAAAUUGAGAACAUGCACCGAUCAUGUAUCAUUCGCGUGGCCAAAUACAAUGCAUGGUUGUCCAACAUCGUUCCAACAUGGUUGUCCAACGGGCGUCUGUGUUGAUUACCGUGACCUCAACAACGCAACGCCUAAGGAUAUAUAUCCCAUGCCUGUUGCUGACCUCCUCAUUGACGCGGCCGCGGGGCAUGAAGUGCUAUCCUUUAUGGAUGGAAUUGCUGGGUACCAUCAGAUCCCUGUUGCUGAAGAAGAUCGCCACAAGACUGUUUUCCGCUGCCCGGGGUUCGCAGGUGCAUUCGAGUAUGUCGUCAUGUCAUUCGGACUCAAGAACGCAGGGGCAACAUAUCAACGCGCCAUGAACCUUAUCUUUCACGACAUCUUGGGCAAGUUGAUCGAAGUCUACAUCGACGACGUCGUGAUUAAAACUAGGACGCGGGUGACACAUGUUGAAGACCUUCGGCAAGUUUUCACGCGGAUGCGGAAACACCAUCUGAAGAUGAACCCUGCCAAAUGUGUUUUCUUCGCGGAGGCAGGUGACUUCCUAGGGUUUCUAAUCCAUCAAAGGGGUAUCGAAAUCCCCAAAGACAAGGCGCAGGCGGUAAUAAACGCCUCGCCUCCCACAACCAAAAAAGAGCUUCAACAAUUGAUCGGGCGAAUCAACUUCCUCCGCCGUUUCAUUUCAAACGCGACAGGGAAGGUUCAGCCUUUCUCGCCUCUUUUAAAACUCCAAGGGGCGACCGAGUUCGUAUGGGAGUCACAACACCAGGAAGCCUUCGAUCGUAUCAAGGACUAUCUUGCGAACCCGCCUGUUUUGGUUCCCCCUCGCCCGGGCGUGCCACUUAAGCUUUACAUCAUCGCUGCUGAUUUUUCUAUUGGCGGACUCUUGGCACAAGACGAUGAGAAUGGGGUGGAACACGUCGUUUACUAUCUUAGCAGGUUGUUGACCGAUUGCGAGACGCGCUACUCCCCAAUGGAAAAGUUGUGUCUCGCCCUUUUCUUUGCAGGUUGCAAGCUCCACCAUUGCAUGUUAGCUUUUACCACGGUGGUGAUCGCUCAGUCCGACCUAAUUAAAUAUAUGCUUUCCCGCCCUAUCCUACGGGGACGCAUAGGUAAAUGGAUAUUGGCCUUGUCUGAAUUCUCUUUGUAGUAUGUUCCGCAUAAGGCAGUUAAAGGACAGGCCAUAGCGGACUUCCUCGCUCAUCACCCGCCCACCGAGUUGACAGCAUUCCGCGAGUUGGAGGUCGCCGCAGUCUCCCUUACUCCCUGGACUCUCUACUUCGAUGGCUCGCGUACUGAACUCGCUGCAGGUGCUGGGAUCGCCAUCGAGAACCCUGCAGGAGACCGGUUUUCUUACUCUUUCUAGCUGGACUUUAAAUGUACGAAUAAUCAGGCGGAAUACGAGGCGCUCAUUAUCAGAUUGGAAAUCUUGCUGGACUUAGGAGUCCGCGAGGUUCAAGUCUUUGGCGACUCCUUAUUGGUCGUCAACCAACUAAUGGCGAAGUUCAAGUGCUUAAGUUCGUCCAUCGAGCCUUACUUGUGGAAAGCCUUCGAUGUCUUGGACCGUUUCGACGAUGUUCACAUUGAACACAUCCCGCGCGAAUUCAACUUCGCGGCGAAUGAGCUUGCGCAGAUCGCAUCCGGUCUUAGCCUGCGCGAUGGAGUGCGCGAACGACUCCUCAAAGUCGAGCGACGUACACUUCCUUCUUUUCUUGCCCGGGGGCAAUAUGACACAGAACUUCUUACCGUCGCUGCCUUAGAUCCUAUCGAUGAAGAUUGGCGGCUACCGUUUAUUGCCUACCUCGAACACCCUCACGACGCCACCCAUUCCAGGCAAAUGCGGUUUCUCGCCCUCAACUUUGUGCUUCGCAAUGGUGAGCUUCGCCGGCGCGGCGAGGACGGUAACGAUUUCCGCUACGUAUAUGGCAAGGAGGCUAAGCGCCUUAUGCGUGAGGUGCAUUCCGGUGUUUGUGGUUCGCAUCAGGCUGGACCCAAGAUGCGUUGGUUAAUCCGUCGCCACGGCUACUACUGGCCUACCAUUCUCAAAGAUUGUAUUACUUUUGCCAAAAGAUGUCAGGAUUGCCAGGCUCACGGACCAGUGCACCACAAUCCAAACAUUCCGUUACAGCCGAUCGUCAAACCCUGGCCAUGUCGAGGUUGGGCGAUAGACUUCAUCGGUCUCAUUCAUCCCCAUUCCUCUGAGCAGCACAAGUUCCUUAUCGUGGCCACCGAUUUCUUUACCAAGUGGGUUGAGGCCGAGCCACUCAAGGUUGCUUCCGCGACCUCGGUCCGUAACUUUAUUUUCAGCGACAUUAUCUCCCGCUUUGGUAUUCCAGAAUGCAACGUGACAGACCGGGGGGCAGCUUUCAUGGCGGAUUCUGUAGUCACUUUCCUCACUGGUUAUGGCGUCACACUCGGGCAUUCAACCCCUUAUUAUGCCCAGUUCAAUGGUCAGGCGGAGGCGAGCAACAAAGUUAUCCUCGGUAUCUUGCGCAAGAUGCUAGAGUUGAACCCCCGCGUUUGGCAUCUAGAACUUCACCAUACUCUGUGGGCCUACCGUACCUCCAAGCGAGGUCCGACCGCUACCACCCCUUAUGCUCUCAUGUAUGGCCAUGAUGCCGUCUUCCCCCUGGAGGUUCACGUCGCCUCGCUUCGUGUCCAGGAACAGCACCAGUUGCUCGGCAACGACUACGUCUAGACAAUGUGGCAGGAGCUUGAAGACCUUGACGAACAUCGCAUCACUGCUUUCAACAAUCUCAUCCUUGAGAAGCAACGCGUUGCGCGGUCGUAUGAUAAAGUCACUCGAGGUCGGAGUUAUGCCGAAGGCCAAACGGUAUGGCGUGCUGUGCUCCCACUUGGAGAAAAAACUGAAGGCCACGGGAAAUGGUCCGCGCGUUGGGAGGGACCAUUUAUCAUUCAUCGCAUCUUGCCUAAGGGGGCAUACCAUUUGCGCGACCUUGACGGUACACUCCAUCCCAAUCCUAUUAAUGGUCGUUUCCUAAAACGCCACAUCGCUGGUGUUUAGGAGCGCGCGGACCCUCCUCUUCCUCCUGAUCCCGCGACCACUGUUAUUAGUGUUACACGCCGUCGCGCUUACGCUCCAUCACCUCACACUAGGGGGCAACCCGAGGGACCCGAGGGAGAAGCAUGCAAUUAGUUUUUCUUUGUAAACGUGCGUGGUCUAACUAACAGACCAAUACAAGAUUGGGGCCUAUUCUAGAGGCCCUAAGUAAAGUUUUACGUGCAAACUAGUUAUGUUCAUUUCUUCAUUUCUUUCUUUGUUUCCUGUGUAAACGUACCAAGUCUAACUAACAGACCAGUACAAGAUUGGGGCCUAUUCCAGAGGCCCUAAGUAAAGGAAAUAUUUCAAGUUGUUUUGCUCCACAUCUAGGCUAACCCCUGUGGCCUCCAAAUUUUCAAAACAGGUUCGCCAGCUUUAUACGCCCGUUCGCCGACUUCUAUUGGUUGCCUUUCAUCUGUUCGCACUGGGGGGCAGCGAAGGGCAUGGCCUCUAAUUUAUUUAUUUUUUCAUCUCUCUCUGGUUUGCACUGGGGGGCAGCGAGGUACUUGACCGUUAUCAUUCCAUGUUUAUCACCAAGUUGAUUCGCCAACGCCAAGAGCAUGCGAAUGCAAAAGUAGAGCAGGCGAAUGCGGGCAAAGUCCAAGUCCAAGGUGCCUAGGCGAGCCAUGCAGCAAUUCGCGGCAUUGCCUUGUUGGGUGAUUGGGUUUCAAGGCCCAUUCACAGGCUUGUUUACACAUUUAUUUUAUGUAUGACCCAAGCCAAUGCCAGUGGCUUUGGAGCAACAUGAACAUAAACCUCUUCAGUCAUUCUUGACAUUCAUGACUUCGAGGCUAGGGGGCAAUGUUUACGCCUAGAUUAAUAUUUUACUGGACAGUAAAUGUCUAUGUGAAUAUUAAUUACUUUCUUGGUCCAUGUCAUACCGGCGAGCCCAAGUUCUUUAAGUUUUCAAAUGUCGGCCCGCUAGGGAACCACGCGAACUGGACUUCGCGCAGUUUGUGCGCGGAAUGGACAUAGGCGGACUAUACAGUUCGCUCGCGGGAUGACUUCGCGCGGAAUGGACAUAAGCGGACUAUACAAUUCGCUCACAGGAUGACUUCGCACGGAAUGGACAUAGGCGGACUACACACUUCGCGCGGACUACACAGUCCGCGCGCGGAUUUACUAUUUGCCAGUCCGCGUAAGCGAGGCGAGAUUGACUCUCCGCAUAGGCGAGGCGAGCUUGCGAACUGGCUCGCGUAAGGGACUUCGCGAGGAAGACACAUGCAGAGUCCGCGCGUCUUACAAUAAACGUUAAAGACUUUUACAAGUCCUUGACAUGCUUCGGGCCAAUCCCUGUGGCCCUUUUGAUAUAAAAAGCCUUUCUAAAGCCCGCGAGCUAGAACGGCCCGCGAGUUGGAAUGUCACAUCCCAGGACCCGUUCCGCCGUAACACGAUAUUGUCCGCUUUGGGCCCACCGGCCCUCACGGUUUUGUUUCCGGCAGCUCAGGAGCAGCUUCCCAGUAGGUCACUCAUCCUGGGAUUGCUCUAGCAUCAACAUGCUUAACCUCGGAGUACCCAUCCCCUCCAAAGCCGCUGAGCCACCAAAAGGCCUCGUGUUAGAUUGGAGGUGGACAUGUACAUAUACAGCACAUAACCCCUCUCCGUUUGGCCGAUGUGGGAUAUUACAAUCCACCCCCCUUGGGAGUCCGACGCCCUCGUCGGCACACUCGCACCACACGGCAGAGUGGCUCUGAUACCAUUUGUCACACCCCAGGACCUAUUCCGCAACAUUUAAUAUUCAACCAAAAACUAUAGCAUGCAUUUAUUUAAAAUAAACGUCCACUCACAAAUUAGGCCUAAGCCUGAUGUCGAUCUGGGGCCUCGUUUGCUCGAGCCUCCUCACGUCCUGUUCCAAAUAUAAUAUUAAUUUCCCAACCAAUAAUCCAAUAUUUAAUCAAAAUAGGCAAAAUUACCCGAGAGCCAUAAAUACGCUCAUCAUUGCCUAACUUCGAUAUUCUUAAAUCGGAACGAUCCGAACUUAAAUAUCAUACUCAACAGUCGUAAAUACAACCUCCCCAAAAUACGACUUAAAUCAUACUGCCGGAUUCUACAUUAAUUAACCGCCAAAAAUACCAAACUUCGGAAAUUUACAAACCUAUCCAAAUCUCAUCCAAAAAUUCCAUAAAUCACAUCAAUAUAAUCCCCUUAAUAUUCCACACUUAAAACCCUAAAAAUCUCUUAACCGGCGGCGGCCGGAGGCCAAUUCCGACGACCUCCAAAACCUAUGAAAUUUUGACAGAAUAAUCUCCUCAUCAUGCUCUACAACUUUCAUGACCAACACAUCACCCAAUUCCAAGCCUAACUAGGCUAAUCGAACGAAAACAACUUAAAAGCCCUAGAAAUUUCAACUCCACAUUUCUCCUUACCUAGCUCAAGAGGGAGGGAGCUGCUUGGAGGGGUUGCUGCACGGGAGGAGGGCUACAAAACGUACCAAGCUUGCCCGGAUUGGUGGCCGGAGGAGGGAGUUCCGGCGACCGGAAGUUCGGGGUAGCCUAUCCUUUCGGGCGACACCGCUCUCUCACGGCGGCGUUAGGGGGGCUGCUACCGGCCUAGAAUGGAAGCUGGGUUGGAGGCCGUUCGAUUGGGACCGGUACGGCGGUCUGGGGCGGCCGGACGGCGACGGUCUAGCGGUCGGAAAAUCGGACAGCGGGAGGGGGUGCGGGUGCAGGAAAACCAGGAGGAAAAAGAGAGGAAAAGAGAAUGGGUUUGGGCCUCACACCCCAACCCGGUCCAUCAUAUAUCAACCCACUCCAAAAUAAAACACCCCGAAAAAAUAAUACCCGAAUAAAAAAUUACCUUUUACUAGCUAAAAUUUACUAUUUUUACCGUCGUCGUAUUUUCCUCUUACGAAUAAUCCUCAGCACAAUAAUCGUCCUCGAAACCCCUCUAGGGACCAAUUAAGCUAUUGACUCAAUGAUCGAGACGGUAAAAUUCUUAUUAUAAUCACGCUAGUAAAUAAGGUAAAAAUAUAAGGGUCGGGAUGUGACAAUUCUCCCCUCCUUAAAAAAAUUUCGUCCUCGAAAUUAACAUACAUGUCAUCCGAAGAGAUAGGGAUACUACUGCAUCAUUUGCUCCUCUGAUUCCCAAGUAGCUUCUUCUACUUGAUGACUUCUCCAAAGCACCUUGACAAGCGAGAUUGUCUUGUUCCUAAGCACUUGCUCCUUUCGGUCGAGAAUCUGAACCGGAUCCUCUUCAUAGGACAAAUCUCUCGUCAAACUAAUCGGCUGCUCUUGCAGCACAUGAGAAGGAUCGGCAAUAUACUUGCGAAGCAUGGAUACAUAUUUUAACGUCAUUUUAAUUUGACGAUUUUUAUUCCUUUUGUAGAGUUACCGAAAAUGGGAUUUCGGUGAAUAUAAAUAUGUAUUUAUUGAGAGAGUAUGUAUAUAAAAUGCUAGCUAGCCAUAUGUGUCUGUCCACCUUAAUGGCGUAGCAUAUAGCCGCAUUAUGGUGUGACGUGAGCGUUGGACGUGAGCGUAGUAGCCCUAUUUGAGUGUUUAAUUCAUAUAGGGGGUAUGGACACAUAUUUAUACACCCGUUUGUCCACCUUGAUGGCGUAGUGUAGCACCGCAUUAAAGCGUGACGUGAGCGUUGGACGCGAGCGUAGUAGCCCUAUAUAGACCCAUGAAUUUAUAUAGGGAGUAUGGACGAGUGUAAAUACAUACAUAUAUUUUUUAGAGUCUGAGAGACUCGAUAUAUUAUGAGAUAAAAGUUUUAUCGUUUGCGGCAUGCAUUCGAUUUUUCUUUGGAAAUUGAGUUGGGGAAACAUAAAUAUUUUAUUUAAUAAUUUAUUUUUGUCCACUCACUCUAACGUUUUUAAAUGUUUUUCCCCUGGGCCCUUCGUUUUUAAAAAUGCCCAGUCUGCAGAGUUCGGGUUGGAUCUAGAAGGAGGCGAGGCAUAGUCACCCGCAUUUCUGCCAGUUUUCGUCAGUAGGUUACCUGUUCAACCUACUUGUGUUCUCUUGCUUCCGCUUGUGUUUAGUAGCUCUGAAUACUUUGGGAUUAUUGUAUAUUAUGUUUAGAGUUUCUGAAGGAUAAUUAUGUGAUGUUUGGACGUUUUGUAUUAAGGGUGAAAUUUGGAAUUUUCAAGUUAGGGUUGUCCAUCUUUAAGGGAGAUUUUAUCAAUUCUUUCAGUAAAUUUUCCUUGGAGGUGGUCCCCGCACGAUUUACUCCGGGUUUCAGGGUGAAAUUCGGGGUGGGUUGUGUCAUGGAAUUAGAAGCCUACGCGAAGUAUGCGAACUAGACAGGUGUCACCAAUUGGUUGGCCUGCAUGGAGUAAACCUUGUCCUUGUCGAUUAGGGUUUCAGAACCUUAUUUGGGAUUCAAAGUUAACUUCCUUCCGCUGGGGAUCAAACUACUAUAUAUACUCUCUUAAACAGACAAUCAAGGAACUCUCUCAAAUCAAUACAAACACAAACCAAUACAAACUGAAACCCAGUUCCCUUCGAGCUACUCGAAACCCUAACCCUAAGCGCCGCCGCCUAGGUUUUUCUCCAGAGCCCUCCGGACUCUACCCCUUUUAGCUUCUCUCUGAACUCCCUAUAAUUGCUCUGCUCGCGCCGCCGUGAGUAUCGAUCGCUUGUGCUCGUAAAUCCUCCUCCGAGGUGGCACCUGUAACCCCCCCUUUUGCCUGAUCAAGAAGUCAAGUGCACCCCCAUCAACCUUUUCCUCGUUCGCGAGGUGGCACGCCCGUAACACUCUCCUCUCUUUGUCUGCUAGUUACCUCUGCUCCGCGCGCUGAGGAUCGUGGCCAAAACAGGAAUAUUUACCGAAAAUUCGGCAUAAUCUACCUUGAACAUAGACAACCCUUAUCUGGAAAAAAAAAAUCCACCGUACACUUCUAUAACCAACCAAACCAGCCUCAACACUUGGAGUCUUUCUGUUCCCCAAGUUCAUCACAUCUCCCAAAAUAUCACAUACUAAACUUCUGGAAUUCCACAACCAACAACAAAGCCAACAUUAAUUCACGAACUGGUUAUUAGAGCAUAUCUAAUAAUGAAAGAAUAACAAUGAAUAAAGAUUAAGCGGAAGCAGCCUCUGACUAUGUCUCGACUCCAUGUACGCUCGACCUCAAUUAAACUUAGCCUGCAAACUGGGCAUUUAAAACCAAAAGACCCAGGGGAAAGUAAUUUUAAAAACGUUAGAGUGAGUUGACAAAAUAAAUUAAAUAAUUUAACAAAUUACGUAAUUUAAAUAUUUUCCCACGUUUCAGUUUAAAAAAAAACUUAGCUGCACGCAACUUUGAUAAACCAUAUAACUUAAAUUUCAGAAACCCAUAAGAAUGGACAAACCAGCCCCGUUGGUUAAUCAAAUAAAUCAAUCUCGUAAGAAGAGAUAAACCAGCCCCGCUGGUUAAUCAAAUACAUAAUUGAGAAAAAUAAAAUAAGAGAAAGAGUUAUCACCAUGUAAAAGAAGUCUUCAAGGCUCGGGUCAAUGCCUCCCAAGCUAUAGUAGCGUCUCACGCUAAGCGCUCAACUCACCUAUGGUGAGGACCGCUAAUAAGAUUAACUAGCAAUAAAUAAUAAUAUCUGAUCGGUACCUCCCAGACUAUAAUAGUGUCCCACGCUAAGCGCUCUACUCAUCUAUGGUGAUGACCGCUAAUAAGACUAGCUAGCAAUAAAUAAUAAUAUCCGAUCGGUGCCUCCUAGGCUAUAAUAGCGUCCCACGCUAAGCGCUCUACUCACAUAUGAUGAAGACUGCUAAUAAAGGCUAGCUAGUAAUGAAAUAUGAGCGUCCCUAUAAUAUGGUGACUAAAAACAUACGAAACCACUUAAAUCAAUUAAACUUCCCCAAGAUCAUAUAAAUAGUACGGUUCCCAACCGUACCUUAAAAUUUUCAUAAGAAAUUAACAUAAAACUCAAUGACGUGUUUCACACGUCAAAAUAUUCUUAAAUCCUUAAUUAUAAGCGAGAUUUAAUCCUCAAGUAAAAAUUUAUUAAUAUCUCAAUCCGAAAUACUCGCUAAAAUAUUCUCAAGGUCAAAAUCAAUCUUCCACAAAUAAACAAUAAAAUUAUAACAAAGAACUACCGAAAAUUCCAUUUUCGGAAAUCUUUUAUAAAUCUCAAAGUCUACCAAUAAAACAAUCAUAAUGAAAUCCGGAAAUCAUAAUGAAUAUCCAACUCGAAUAUCAAAUUAAUUAUCCGAGCUCAAAUCCCUAAAUCAUGACCAACAAUUAAUCAUCGCAUUCAACUCAAAUAUAUUUCAAAACUAUAUCAUAAUCUGAAAUUAUAAUAUAAGCUCGAAAAAUAAAGUAAUAAAUUAUAAAAUCUUGCAUGCAUAUUAUUAAAAACCAAAGUGUCCACUCACAAAUUUAGGCAUAAGCCCGACGAUAUCCGAAUCAUCACUCAAGCGAGAUCCCCUCGUAUCCUGGCACCAUAAAAAUGCUUAGGACCAAACUUCAAUUCCAGAAAAUAAAUACUUAAAUAUAUACACUCAAAUCUCUUCCGCUUAAUCCACUACUUUUAUUAGGGUUAAGCUUAUCGGAUUCAUGUCAAACUCCACCCACAACCUCAUUUCAUUUAUUUCAACCUUCUAAAACAGAAAUAAGGGAAAUCCAACGGCCGGAUUUUCAUUCUAACCGCCAAAAUUCUCAAUCUUUGAAAAAUCUCAAACCUAUCCAAAACUCUUCAAAAAAUUCCAAACAUCACAUCAUUAAACUCCCCUUAAUAUAACACAUUUAAAACCCUGAAAAGCCCCCUUACCGCAGCGGCCGGCGGCCGACUCCAACGACCUCCAAAGUCUACCAAAAUUUAACAGCAUCUUCCUCUCAACCCGCUCUGCAACUUUCCUAACUAGCACAAAGCCCAAUUCCAAGCUUAGAUAGGGUAAUCAAACAAAAACAUUAAAUAGAACCCUUGAACUUCAAUUAUACAUUUCUCCUUACCAAUAUCGAAUUGAGCCAAUUCCUUUCGAGGGAUUACUACUCUAGAUGAGAGCUACAAGAAGAGCCAAGAAUCGCCGGCUUUGGUGGCCGGAGGAGGGAGCUCCGGCGAGAGGGCAGCUGGACUUCCAGUGGCGAUUUCCUCCACACAGUGGUUGUAGGAGUUCCGUCACCUACCCAGGAAUGGAGAGGAGGAGACAAUGGACCGAUUGGGACCGGAGCGGUCGCCCAGUUCGGCCGGAUGGCGUCGGACAGAGAUCGGGAUUCCAACGGGGAGAGAGAAGCUCAGGGGAGAAGAGAGAGGGAGAAGAAAAACUUGGGGCUUUUUCCUUUCUUUUUCCAACGUGUUCCAACCCAACAUUUUAAAACCCAGCUCCAAAAUAAAACACCCCAAAAACAUAACACAAUAAAAUCUUUACAUUUUUACUAACCAAACAUUACCCUUUUAUCUAAUAACCUUUUCAUGCUAACUCUGAUUUUAACGUAUAACAUGUCCAUAAAUUCGUAAUAACGUCCUCAACAACUCCCUUAAAGAAAUUUUCCCAAAAUAAUUUUGUAAUACCCCGGAAAUUAGAUAUUGGUUUCUAAUUUUAUUUGGUUGUGGUUUUGAGGUUCGAAGGAAGAGCGGAAGUGUUCAGCCGCAUAAUUUACCAAAGCAGUUUUACUUGCUUUAAGGGUCAUAGAGUUGACUUUUUAUUCGUUAUGUUUCUUGAGAAACUUCCUUCACGAAAGUUGUAGAGCACGACGAUACGAGUUCGUAGACGCAUGGCACACAUAAAACAGACUUCGUAUGAGAAAGUUAUGGUCAGCGGAAGUUCAUGGUUUAAUGAGAAAUUUCUUGGUUAAAUAAGAAGUUUAGGGUUCCAUUUUCUCCGGAACCCAUUUAUUUCCCUCUCCUUCUUCUCUCUCUUGCGAUACCUUCGGUAUCAAAGUUCUCCAGCCGACCCGACCCGAUUUUCUCGGCCGACUCCGGCCGACCCAGACGACGGCACCGGUCGGAAAAUCUUCCUCUCCUCGGUGCAAUCCUCCAUGUGUUGGUGAGUGAGGACGACUCGAGCGGAUCGGAGCUACUCGAGCGCCACAGUGAGGGUGACGACUCGGUUUGCAACCCGACCGGAAUUCUCACCUCCGGCAGCGGCGACGUGGCCUGCAACCGGUUGGGAUAGAAGCUCCUUGGCGUCCUGGUUUGACUUGCGGUGGUCUUGAAGCUCAACUCACGGUGUAGAGUUGCGGUGGUGGAUUUCGAAAUUCCGGCGAGUUUUCCGGCGUGCUCCGACCGAAUUGGCGGUUACCUCAGGUAUAAAAGAUGCUUCUCUCUCUUCAUUCUACAAGUUUGAUGUUGGGGGUUUGUUCAAAUUCUAUGGUUGGAAGGGUGGCGCGUGGGGCCACUCGCCGCCGCCUACGGUGGCGCGUGGCGGCGCGUUCGGUGUUGUCAAUGGUGUUUGGUGUGCUGGUUAGGUAGUGCUUGUUGAUACGAACUUGUUGAUCUGUGGUUUGUAAGUUUUGGUUACCGAUAAUGCAUGCUAGGGUUCCACUCGGUGCUAGGUUUUGUUCGGUUUCCAUUUUGAGUAUUUCAAGUUUUAGAAAAUUUGGUUAGUUGUUUUGUAGGUUGUGUAGGAUGUUGAGGCGACCUUUUCUUGGUAUAGGGAGAAGUUUUGCCUCGAGUGGCAAGUUUGUAGGUUAGGACUUGAGUUUUGGUUCGAGUCGGAUUAUGUUGUUUUGUUGUUACUAAGUGGAGAUUCCAUUCUAGGUGGUUGACGAUACGUGUUUGCAUCUCACCUAUUACUAAGAGAAGACGCAGCGGGAGUUUUGUUUAAGGUGAGUAACAUUUCUUAGGUUCAAGUAGGAACCGAUUUUCCUUACAUAUUUUGUUGAUUUUGCUAAUUGGGGAAUUGUGCUCUCGAAAGUGAAAUGUUUUGUUUUAAAAUCAUGUGAACUUGAUCGUCCACGGUUCACAGGUAAGUAAAAAGGGUUCUUUUGAUAUUUAUAAAUUUUCUUGAGCCAUUCCCGAUUGUAGCUAUAUUGAUGUUAAUGGUAUAUAUAUAUAUAUAUAUAUAUAUGUUCAUGGAAGUUGUUGUGCUUGGUGAAAUUAUGUGACAGGUUCACAUUUGUCGUAAAAUGUUUUUUCAUUUUAAGAAUUGGUUUGGGGAGGAUUCAUGGCUAUGGGCUUUUUUUUUAGUGUGUGUCUUUGUUGAGAAUCGGUGGGCUGUUAGAACACGUAAUUUGGGAAUGUUUAGGAUUAAGACCUUGAGUUUAUUUGGAGAAGAGUAAUCGUUGUUUGGGGACGACCUGUGUGGUGACCUGUGUGGUGAUCUGUGUGAUGAAUCUGUGUAGAUAAUCUUGUGUGAUCUGUGUGGUGAAUCUGUGUAGAUAAUCUUGUGUUGACCUGUGUGGUGAUCUAUGUGAUGAAUCUGUGUAGAUGAUUUUGUGAUGAUCUUGAGUAGAUGUUGUGGUUGAUGUUGAGAUUUGUAGUCAAGCAAUUGGUAUUGCUAAUGGUCUUUUGUUAAUGGUGUGUUUCGUAUUUAAUUAUUGUGAUUCUAAAUUGAUUUUCGUAGUGUUUCUAGUGAUUUUUCGGAACUAAGUUUUAUGCAGGGAUCACUAUUUUUAUAUUUGUUUGGUCUCAAUGUAAUUACCUGAACUAAGCUAUGCGCAGGGAUUACUAUGUUUUCAAUUGUUUGUUUUACAGUAAUUUUUUGGUUUAUUUCAUAUGCCUUAAUCUCAUUGAUUGUUUAUGUGCCCUUCAACUGGAUUAAAUCAAUGCAAGUGUUCUAAUUAGUUAGUCAAGAGUGCUUAUGGAAUUUAAGGCUACUCAUACAGGCUUGCAAAAGCUUACCGGGUUUGUUUCUUUCAACCCGGUGCACCAUUCCAUGGUGUAGGGGUUUGAUCUUGCAGGUGAGAACUAAACAUGGUUGAGAUGUAGAAGUUGAGCUGCCACCUUAGAGUUAGACUCUUUUGUUUAUUUUUAAUUGUUGGGUUGUUUUUAAGCUCCAAGUGAGCGGUUCAUUUUACUUGACAUUUCAAGUUGAUGUAAACAAUGGAUAGGAAAUAUUUGACUCCAUGUUGGGCUUAUAUUGACAUUCAUUUAUCCAGUAUUUGGGUUUGGUAUUUGGGAUUUAAUGUUAGAGUUUUAGGAUUAUUUUUAGGAUUUUAUCAUGCCUAAGUUUUUGAAAUUUUAUCCUUAAAAAAUUGGGGUGUGACAAAUUUUCCUACAAAAAGUCAACUCCGGGGUCCUUUAAUAGUAAACGAUUACUCAAAAUGGUAAAAACCAAAGUAAUACCAAAAGUAAAUAACCGUAAUUUAAUUUAAGAACCGAGAUGUGACACCAGGAUUUAGCGUUCUCCAUCUCUAUCCCCUCCAUGGUCGUCAACACCGACCCUUGGCCUUCUCCUUCCUCCAUGUGCUUGGCGAGAUCCAACACAACCCUCAACUCUGUAUCUUCGAUUCUGGCUACAUCAUCUACCUCUUUAAUUUAGGAUUUGUCUAUUCACUUUUCACUGUUGUCUUUGUUUUUCUCUUUGAGAUCGGGCAAUAUGGAGUUGGAGAAGAAGAGAGUUUAUAUCUGGGCAAAUUAUGUUGGUUCAUCAAUCAUGGAGAUGCAAAAAGGAUCUGUGUGUCCAAAUUUUCUCUGGAAAGAGAGUUGGUUAUAUUGGUGUUCAGGUGUCUGAGAGGACGUAUCUCCUCCAUCUUGUUAAACCUUUGGCGCAUCAAUGGUUGAGAAGCUUCACCUAUCUAAUUUGAUAAUGGAAGGGUCUGGGCAAAAAUGGAAUCCAAAUCCAUGGUUAAUUGGGAGUUGGUUUGGCUAACGAAGAAGGGGAUAUUAUCCUUGAUUCUUUCGAUACAGGUGAGGGUGUCUCCAUUGAUGGUUAUACAUAUUAAUCGAAUUAUAUUUUUUUUAAUGUUGGAGAGACGAAAUUGUCCCUAAAAAUAUAACGGAGAUCACCAAAACUAACGGUUGAGAUGACGGUGUGUACUCAUAUUGGGUCGGUUUUAAUAAUUCAUGUACGUAUGUGAUAGUUUCGGAUGUUGAGCAACCAUAAUUCUCAGUGGAGUAAAGUUCAUGUACUGUUCUUAAAAUUUUCUCUUUUUCCAAUUACUAUACGUGUUGGCUUGUGUUCUUAACUUUUUGCCACCAAGAAACUGGAAAAUCUAUUCAUACUCUAAUCAUGCUAGCUUAGUAGAUCUUCAUUAAUUCUACUUUCUUAUUUUAUUUAUUUUUAUUUCCUUAUUUAUUUUAAGAAUGGUUGAGGAAAUUGGUUUUGAUAGGAAAUAAUACAAACUACAAAGACUUCAUUUCAUGGCGGGAAGGAC